rnacentral:rRNA from 1 species
CCUACGGGUGGCAGCAGUGAGGAAUAUUGGUCAAUGGGCGGGAGCCUGAACCAGCCAAGUCGCGUGAGGGAUGACGGCCCUAUGGGUUGUCAACCUCUUUUGCCGGGGAGCAAAGUGCCGCACGGGUGCGGUUUGGAGAGUACCCGGAGAAAAAGCAUCGGCUAACUCCGUGCCAGCCGCCGCGGUAAUACGGACGGUCCGGGCGUUAUCCGGAUUUAUUGGGUUUAAAGGGAGCGUAGGCCGCAUGUCAAGCGUGCUGUGAAAUGUCCGGGCUCAACCCGGGCCUUGCAGCGCGAACUGGCGUGCUUGAGUCCGCGGAAAGCAGGCGGAAGUCGUCGUGUAGCGGUGAAAUGCUUAGAUAUGACGAAGAACCCCGAUUGCGAAGGCAGCUUGCUGCAGCGGAACUGACGCUGAUGCUCGAAAGCGCGGGUAUCGAACAGGAUUAGAUACCCUUGUAGUC